UGGGGAAUAUUGGACAAUGGGCGCAAGCCUGAUCCAGCCAUGCCGCGUGAGUGAUGAAGGCCUUAGGGUUGUAAAGCUCUUUCGGCGGGGACGAUAAUGACGGUACCCGCAGAAGAAGCCCCGGCUAACUUCGUGCCAGCAGCCGCGGUAAUACGAAGGGGGCUAGCGUUGUUCGGAAUCACUGGGCGUAAAGGGCGCGUAGGCGGCUUGAUAAGUCGGGGGUGAAAGCCUGUGGCUCAACCACAGAAUUGCCUUCGAUACUGUCGAGCUUGAGACCGGAAGAGGUAAGUGGAACUGCGAGUGUAGAGGUGAAAUUCGUAGAUAUUCGCAAGAACACCAGUGGCGAAGGCGGCUUACUGGUCCGGUUCUGACGCUGAGGCGCGAAAGCGUGGGGAGCAAACAG
rnacentral:rRNA from 1 species